GAGUGUUAUUUUCUUGUUGUUUCAAGCAUUCUUGCACAAAAUAGUUUGUUUUUGUCUUUAAAAUCACUUCUAACAAAUCUGUUUGUGUUUUAUUUUUCCAAAUCUAGUUAGGGCAUUUUCUUGAGGUCCAAGGACGAUUUCUUUUCUUCCAAGAAACCCUAACUAGUUCUUUUUUAGACUCUUUACCAGUCAGUUCAUCUUUCUUUCGUUUUAAUUUCGUUUGACUCUUCUUUGCGACAACUAAUCUAUUUUUGUUUUUUCUUGUUUCAGUUUACGUUCGUCUAGAGAUCUAGGGUAAAUCCAUGACUUUGACAAACUUUAUGAUCCACUUCCGCAUUCAUCUACAUCAUUCUUUACCACCCCAUCUCUAUCAUGCCAAUCAAUCGCCAACACCUCACCUAUCGUCUCUCCCACAUUUAUGGCCAUUUGUCUAUCCAUUUGUUUGAAUGGUAUGUUGUAAAUUUUAACCCAAAAAGGUGUGAUAUUGAACACGUAAUUCUCUAACCCUUGGUCCUUAACAAAAGGUAAUAAAGAAAAUAGGCACUAAUUAAAAAGCCAAGGAGAAAGAUUAAGGAUUGUCGUUCUGUCAUCAAUGGCACCAAACUUAACCAGAAUAACACCUUCACUUAAUGCCACAAAGCUAACCUCUUCUUUUGUGAACCAUAGAGAUUUUAAGACCCGGUACACAGUUUCUUUGUUUUUUUUCUUUAGACAUUGUCUUCCCCACAGCCUAAACUUCGUAGCUCUUAGGCUUUGUAGAAUAUUGAUUAGAGCUAAUCACUCUUUUUUACUCUUCUUCUGAAAAAUUUAAUCUUUUCAGUAGCACAUUUAUGUCCUCCGCCAUAUCCAAGGACAAUAAUGAAAGUGCGCAAGAGAACAAACAUGACCCCCAAAUCAGGCCAAGCACGAGAGACUUUCCUCGAGAGCCACCAAUACAACUUGCAAGAUCACAACAGAGAAGAGAAGCAAUAAGGCACCAAUAAACCACUAGGAACAAAAAAUACAAUUAAGGCAAACACCAACGAACCUAAAAUGAUAGAGGAACAAGACACAACACAGAGGGUUAAGAAGCCAUGCUAGCAGCUCAAGAAAAUUAUUAUUAGCAAAAAAAAACACCAAAACCCACCACCCAAAAGGACUCCCAAAAACUCAAGAACAAAGCUAAAAAUGAUAGAAAACAGAAAAAACCCGCAGCAAACAGUUUUAAGAUGAAGUAAAAAUAUAAGCAAAAAUCUACAGGAAACCCUAUGAGAAAACCUAUGUAAAAGAAGAAAAUAGUGAUAUGAUUUAAAGAAAAUAAGGAAAAGCGAGACGUAAUAAAUGCCCAAGAAGAGUAGAGCCUCAGGAAAAUUAAUACAUGCAAAAAUCAAAUAGAAAAGUCAAACAAAAACUUACCUGGCAUCACAAGACCCACAAAAACGACAACCAUGCUCAAAGGUUUAAAAAUCAUACAAGAAACUUAAAGUCAAAAGAACCAUGCAAGAAAACAUAAAGUAAUCAGAAAAGCAAAUUAUGGUGAAAAUGACAAAAUCAACGAUUGAGAAGACCCGCAAUCCCAUCAAACUCUCCCAGAAUCAAACUUAGGCACAGUAUCUCCCAGCACAUAAACCGCCACCGUGCAAAUCUUGGAAUCCAUGCACAAACACAAACGAAAACCCCACCACAAAGUAGGGACUCACAACACAAACACCACCAUCCAAUUAUUCUUAACAAGAAGAACAAAGACGGACACCUCAAAUAAACAAAACAAUAAUUGAAUUCUCCGAAAUCUUGGAUUGUUUUUUUCUACUACCAGGCAACAUUCAAAAGCACGAUCCCGCUACAAAAGUACAAAUUACACUUGAACUCUAGAAGAAAGGAUCUAAAUAACCACUUGAAAGGGCGGU
rnacentral:lncRNA from 1 species